ACCAGACGAUGCGGUUACCGCGGCUGCUGGCACGGAGUUAGCCGGUGCUUCUUCUGUGAGUGAUGUCCUUCCUGCCGGCUAUUAACCCGCAGGCCUUCUUCCUCACUGAAAGUGCUUUACAACCCGAAGGCCUUCUUCACACACGCGGCAUGGCCGGAUCAGGGUUGCCCCCAUUGUCCAAUAUUCCCCACUGCUGCCUCCCGUAGGAGUCUGGGCCGUGUCUCAGUCCCAGUGUGGCUGAUCAUCCUCUCAGACCAGCUACGGAUCGUCGCCUUGGUGAGCCGUUACCUCACCAACCAGCUAAUCCGACAUAGGCUCAUCCGAUAGCGCGAGGCCCGAAGGUCCCCCGCUUUCCCCGUAGGCGUAUGCGGUAUUAGCCUGGGUUCCCCAGGUUACUCCCCACUACCGGGCAGAUUCCUAUGCAUUACUCACCCGUCCGCCGCUCGCCACCAGGGAGCAAGCUCCCGUGCUGCCGCUCGACUUGCAUGUGUUAGGCCUGCCGCCAGCGUUCAAU
rnacentral:rRNA from 1 species